rnacentral:lncRNA from 1 species
AAAUUGCUGUUUAUGAACCUGCUGUAAACACUUAUGUGAUUCAAGCCUCUUAAAGGACAGUAAAUUACGUGUGAAAAUUUCAUGGCUGAAUAAGUGGCAGUAACAUGGCACUCAUUCUGGAUGCACACAUCAAAGAAAGACAAAAGUUGGAACUUUUAAGAUGGAAAUUAGUGGGUUCUAUGCUUUGUCCUUCUGGAAACCUCAGAUCCAAAACGUCAGAAAUUGGCAUUGUGAAUAUUUGCUGGAAAUCAUCUCUUGAUGAUGAGUUGAAUCUGUCCAAACUUUAUAUCUGGCUAUCUGUAAAUACUAUGUCAACAAUCCUCAACUGCUCAUAACACUACCAGUGAACAAAAGAAAAAAUGAGGAUAUCAUAUAUACCUCUGGCAAAGCAGAUGAAGACUCCAGCCUGAGGACUCCUCCAGAUGAGGACAACCUGAUCAUAUCGGUAAACUCUUAAAACGACUGAGUGUAGGUAAGAAGUUCUUUUCCUUACACAUAUACAGCAGAGAUGUUACUAGACGGUAACUGCAUGGUGUGGAUAGAAGAACAGAAGACAGUGUGAUAUGUUAGUUCAGAAUACUCCAUAUAAGUGGAAACCCAAUGGAUUAUAUAUUAGGAAUUACCCUACAGCUUUACUGUAUUUCCAAUUCCUCAUGACAGUAGUGGCAGGUGAUGACUCUGCUUAUAUAAAAGUAUGUGAUAUAAACUGGAACAUAAUUUGGAUAACCACCAAUAUAGAGGAAGUUCAAAAACUUACUUUAUAUUGAGCAUAGUAGCAGUCCCAAACCUGUGGGACUGGGAAAUAUGAAUUGGUGGGAUGAUGAAGGUGAUACAGAUUAAUUUCUGAUUCAGAGGGUAGGGGUAAUCAGUAGGAAUGGGGAAUAAGAGGAAAAAAUGGAUUGUGAUUGUGAGGUUGAGGAGAAUGGAGGAGGAAGUAGAGAUGCAUUCAAAGCUGAACAUGAGCAAAGCUUCUUAUAUGAAACAAAAUUGGAGAAGUUCUAUAAUGUUAACUUAUUUUAAAGAUAUUUGAUCUAUGUAGCAUCAAAGUUCAGGUUCGAGUACUAGAUACUUUUAUAGCUCUGUACAGAUAAAAAUAAAAGGGGAGGGUGAAUGAGCA